AUGCCACCUUCCGUGCACGACACGGAAGGCCUGCCGUUCAUGAAGCAUGGUUGUGUCUUCCGUGCACACCGCCGGAUGAAUGACAUGCUGGGACACGCGAUCCCUGAUUUAUGCCGCUUCAGCUUGGAUGAGUCUCCAUCGUGUGGAACCGGACCAGAAAGCCGCGACAAUGAUUCCCGUUGCCCACCGCUAUGGAUCAUGCCAUCCUUGAAGAACACCUGGGACUGGAACCUGGAGGAGGACAUACCCACAUGUCAUCGGUGUAACUAUGUACACUCUGAAGGACGGUAUAUCCUGGUAGUAGUAGUAGAAUUGAGAUUUAAUGCACUUUCUUCCCCGUCUUCCACUCUUCUUCUUCCUCUCUUCUUCUUCCUCCUCUCUUCCCCAUCGUCGGCCGCACACCAUUUCCCCCUGCUCACUACUCGCCCGCCCGUGCUAUCUUCCUUGCAGAUGCAAAUGCGCUGCCUUCAUGAUUCCAGGACCUGGAAUCAUACCAGCCGAUGGUACCAUAUAACUGGUAUUAACCCAUGCAAGUCGAAGAAAGAUUGGCCGGUGCUGCCGGCUGGCAUCAAGGUCGAUCCCACGGAUCAGGAGCUGAUCGAGCACCUUGAGGCCGAAGUCAGUGCUAACAGCGCGAGAUCUCACCCUCUCAUCGAUUUGUUCAUACCAACCAUCGACAGCGAGCAUGGCAUAUGCUACACCCAUCCUGAGAAACUUCCAGGUAUCACACUGAGUGGCCUAAGCAAGCAUUUCUUCCAGCGCAAUUCCAGGUCGUUCAAAAGGGGCACGUGGACGCGUCGCAAGAUACAGUCGGAGUGCGGCAUGCACGCGAUGUGGCACAACACCGACAAUACCUUGCCGGUGAUGGUCAACGGCCAGCAGACGGGCAGCAAAAAGGUUCUGGUGCUGCACACCAACAAGAACUUCGACCAGCAGAGGACCAACUGGGUGAUGCACCCGUACCACCUCGGGGACCUGGAGCAAGAGAAGGAGCGGGAGCGGUCCUCUGCAAGAUUUUCUACCAGACGAACACUAGGGCCAGGAGUAAAAAGAUUAUAA
rnacentral:rRNA from 1 species